GGUGAGAUGUCCGAGAGGCUGAAGGAGCAUGCUUGGAAAGCGUGUUUACACUAACGUGUAUCGAGGGUUCAAAUCCCUCUCUCACCG
rnacentral:tRNA from 1 species